rnacentral:rRNA from 1 species
UACGGAGGAUCCGAGCGUUAUCCGGAUUUAUUGGGUUUAAAGGGUGCGCAGGCGGGAGAUUAAGUCGGCGGUGAAAUUUUGCAGCUCAACUGUAAAAGUGCCUUCGAUACUGGCUUUCUUGAGUGUGGAUGAAGUAGGCGGAAUUUGUGGUGUAGCGGUGAAAUGCUUAGAUAUCACGAGGAACUCCGAUUGCGCAGGCAGCUUACUAAACCAUAACUGACGCUCAGGCACGAAGGCGUGGGGAUCAAACAGGAUUAGAUACCCU